GGCUGCUACUUUGCUAUUGCCGCUUGUCGCUCUUGCGUUUAAUACAUUGUGGUUUUCUAAAUUCGAUUUGUUUGUCUUAUUUUGAUCUGUUUUAUUUUUGGUCGCCGCUAUUGUUGUCUUAUUUUUAUGUUCUGCGCGUUUUGUCAUUGUGCUGCAGGCAUACCUAAUCACACAGACAUAUGUAUAUGCAAAUAUAGCAACUCGUGUGUCCGUCGGUACGUAGACAGUUGGUUGUUAAAAUAGCGGUACUGCAGAUUAGAAAAUAAAUAAAAUUCAAAACUAUUGUGCGCGUUUGUCAACCUAAGAAGAAUGAGGCGAAAAGUUUUUGCAGACAUUUGCCACUUGUGCCACAAACUGCUGCUUUGCUUUGCUCGUAUACGAAACUAUUGCGAAAAUCGCACAAAUACACACAUUCUUACAUCCACUUAUUAUAAGUUUAUAUUUUAUUUUAAAAACAACUUAGAAUUUGUUUUAUAUUUAAAUACACAUGUGAGAUGUAUGUAUGUUUGUACAGAUGAAUUAUUGCAAAUCUUAGCAGCAAAAUAGUCAGCAUAAUAUAUCCUAUAAGCAGACAGGUCGGUAUAGUGGUGUCAACAAGGAAUUCAAAAAAAAAAAAAAUAAAACUAUUUUCGCUCCAAAAUAAAUAUUUUAUAAUUGACUAUUUAAAUGGAAACCUUCAAUAUAACAAUGAACUUCAAAUUGGAAAAUUUAAAAAUGACAAAAAUACUUCAAUUUCCCCUUUCAAUUUUAUAAACAUAUGAAUAUCUCCCACGUAAUACCAAAAAUGUUUAACUGUGAAGAAUUCUAUAAGUUUUAAGUUGUAUCUAAACAGCUGAUGAAAUUUAUGAUAAGAUUUAACUUAACUGGGAAUAACAAAAAACAUUCUUCGACAAGUGAGAUGAACCCGAUUUCUGCGUCCAACAAUACAUGCAUAUAUGUACAUUUCUAACCGCUACGCAAUAUCGAAAUUCCUUAUUGAAGACUCCAAAUGAAGUUGAGAUCAGGAACAUACCUCACUGAUCUUAUCUAACGAUACGUCAGAGCAGUAUGAUGUGGAUUUGUUUUAACCUUGAGCGCAAUUAAUGUUGACAACUUUGCCAACUAAUAACAUCAGUUUCAAUUAGCAACACUGUACAUACAUGUCAGGAAAAAAUAAAAAAAAAAUACCUGAUUAUUUUAAAUAAUUUACAAAACUCGCUUUUGGAAUUGCUGAGUGAUCACUCGCAUUUGUAUGCAACCGCAGCCGCAGCCGCUCGCAGCGCUCAUUUGUAUUUGUCACAGUGUGGCGGCAAUCGCUGAUUCGCUGAUUAGUCACUGCAGUUCCUGUCGUUGUUGGUUGAUAGCAGAAGUCGCGCAUUUUAUUGGUUGGCAGGCGAUUUUGAAAGCAAUACGAAAACUGUCAUUCCCGUCGCCAUAACAUAUCAUUAAUUAUAAGUAAAGAAACAGCAACUACAACAACAGCGCGAGAACAAUGGCGAUUGCAAGUGCCACAAGAAUAUGCGAAGCCACAGCAAAGCGAAGCAGAGUUGUUGCAAUUUUAUGCGGCGUUUUAUUGAAUUUUAUAUACAGUUUUGUUGUUGUUGUUGUUGUUUUAAGUAUAUGCAUAGAACAAUAUGACUGCGACGAAAAGUCACUCAACGUGUGACACACAGCAAUGCGUACAAAUAUGUUUCAGAUAGAUCAUUCGGGAAAGUAAGAGCCGCCCAGCCAAUGGCCAUGCAGCUCGGCAGCCAGAAAUGCCAAACGACAGCCCAACAAUGCAACAAUACAAAUGUGAAUUCAAUUUUAAUUAAAAAAGAAAUUCUAUUGUAAGUCAAUGCACACACUCACACACAUUUUUAAUCAGCAAAAACUCAUUAAUAUUGCAAGUGCACUCAUAGAUACUGAAAUUUAUAUAUACACACUUACGCUGUGGCACACUGAUUGAAAGCGCGUAAAAAAAAUAAUAGAUUAAAGCAAUUUUUAAACAAAAAAAUUAUGUUAAUUAUAAACAAUUUUGGAAACUAAUAACAAAAGCAUUAUAUUUAGUCCACACACGAACGAUUUUAAAAUCACAUAUGGCCGCGGAAAUAUGAAUAUUAAGCGCAGAAAAAUUACUGAACACCAAUUAAAUUUUAAUUCUCGCAAAUUAUUCAAUUUAAUAGCUUUUCCAACUAGCUGUUGACGGCUCAACUGUACUUUUGAAAUUAUUACUUUUCAUUUUUUUCACACCCAAAUUAGCCAAAUAAAAAUUUUAU